AGACAGGGUCUUGCCACGUUGCCCAGGCUGGUCUCGAACUCCUAGCCUCAAGCAGUCCUCCCACCUUGGGCUCCCAAAGCAUGCUUGGUGAUUUUGAUCUCUUUUUGCACCAGCUAUCUGUACUAUCCCUUCCUUGUCCAUGCCUUUGGAGUCACCCAUCAUCUUCAACUGCCUGACUCCCCAAACUCAGAGCUCAGGAAUCCAGGGACAACUCUAAUUUUCCAUGAUGUGGGCUUUACAUGCUAUUUCCUUCCCUGCCCUCCCUACAUCCCAUUACACCCUAUGGCUUCCUGUUGCCCUGUAACCAGCAGCACUGACCGUGGUUGCAGUAUGGCCCAUCAAAAGCCGUGAGGUCACAGUCACAUGUGUAGUAGCUAUAGCGCUCCACGCAGCGGCCUCCAUGGAAACAGGGGAGCCGGGGGUGGGCACAGUGGCCUGUACAGUUGGGUGAGGUUCCCUCAGAGGCAUUGGCACGGCCCUCCAGGUUCAGAGUCACUCCAUUCAGACGCAUGGCCCUCAAGCAACCCACAAAGGGGCGUCUCUUAAGCUCUGCAGAUCCUGGAAAGGGUAGGCAACAGGUCAAGAAAUGGAGGCAGAGCCAGAGACAGGACCCGGACCAGGUGCCACUCGUCAUCGUUGAACUCAAAGUCGUCUGAGUGUACUGUGAGAUUCUCAUCCCCAUUCCCCACAUCAAAGGCGAAGACCACAUCCCGGGAUGCUGGACAGUGUCAUGCAGGGUGGGGGAGAAAAGGACUCAGACCUACAAGAUCCUUCAUGGAUUCCUUGUCUAAUACAACCUCUUUACCUCA